rnacentral:RNase_P_RNA from 2 species
CGGAAAGAGCGGAGUAUCGCUCCCGGUCGCAAGGCCGGGGGAGGAAAGUCCGAACACCACAGGGCACGAUGCCGCGUAACCUGCGCCCGAGUCCUCGGGGCCGGCAGGGUACACGCGGGCGGCGACGCCGCGAGGCGUCCCGACGGACAGUGCCACAGAAAACAAACCGCCUGUGCGCCGUCCGCGACCGGAAGGCUGCGGGCAGGCGCACCGGUAAGGGUGAAAAGGUGGGGUAAGAGCCCACCGCUCGGAGCGUAAGCGACGAGGCACGGAAAACCCCAUCGGGUGCAAGGCCAAAUAGGGGACGUCGAAGUGGCCCGCUUCGGUUCCGCCCCAAGCGGAACGCGUCCCGGGUUCUGGCCGCUCAGACAAAUGAUACUCUCCUCCGGGGGAUGACCCCGGAGCAGACAGAAUUCGGCUUACAGCUCUUUCCGGGGC